UACGGAGGGUGCAAGCGUUAUCCGGAUUCACUGGGUUUAAAGGGUGCGUAGGCGGGCAGGUAAGUCAGUGGUGAAAUCUCCGAGCUUAACUCGGAAACUGCCGUUGAUACUAUUUGUCUUGAAUAUUGUGGAGGUAAGCGGAAUAUGUCAUGUAGCGGUGAGAUGCUUAGAUAUGACAUAGAACACCAAUUGCGAAGGCAGCUUACUACACAACGAUUGACGCUGAGGCACGAAAGCGUGGGGAUCAAACAGG
rnacentral:rRNA from 1 species